rnacentral:lncRNA from 1 species
AUAAGAUGCUAAUGCGGGGCUGAGGGUAGGGACAAGGUAAUGAGAAUGAGGCUGUCUUAGAGCAAUUAGUCCGUCAGCCUGAUUGGAAUGAGAGUAUGGCAGGAAGAACAAAGCUGAAUGAACAGAAGCUGUCUAGGUCUCUCACAAUGAAAAUUCUGAUAACAUAGCGGGCUCUUCACAUUUGAACUCUGAGGACCCACCAGAGGGGAGUCAACCUAACGACAGUGGGUGGAUACCACAUUAGCCCCCAUCUCAACCUACCCCUACAUCCUCCCAGAGAAUAGGGACCUCCUUCAGGCAGUGACGCGGAUGACUCCUGGAGAUAGGAAGGCAACCCCUCCUGCCACAGAAGAGCUCCAGUCAAGGAAGGCUCCUCAUUCUCUAAGCCAGCGGCCCUCAACCCCGGCCACACCUCAGAAUCACUUGAACAGCAUGUAAAAAUAUAUCACUGUCUAGACUCCACCCAUUUCAGUUAAAUCAGAAUUUCUGGGAAUGUGGCCCAAGCACCAGUGUUGAGUGUUUUUUUCUUUAACACUCUAUGGUUGAGAGCCACCAGCGUAAGCUAUCAAGAUGUUUCAAGGAGGAGAACAGAACCAAUGAAGUAAACUCUAAGCUGAUAUUGCAUCUAAAAAAACCCCAGUGUUCAGGAGAAUGCUGGCAGACUAAAAACUCCUUGAUAGACCAUCAGACUUGCUAGUCCUGGUACCAUAACUCUGGCUAUUAUAUCUGUGAAUGACACUAGCCUAAGUGACCCUGAGCCUAUGGUUCUAUGACUAUAACUUAUGCUAAUCUGUUUGCCACCGUCUGUGGCUGGACAGACCCACAUGCACACACCCUUCCACCCGGGUUCCACAGGAAACUAUUGAAUUAAACACUAUUGGGUUUGGUUUUUUCCCGAAUACCAAUUUUUCCUGUCUACAACCUAAUCUUUUGGAUCUGACGUGCUCUGUACAUAGUUACAUUUUGUCAUGUCUGUUCAAUCCAGAAUCAUCGCUCCAUGAAGAUCCUGCUCUACUUUACUGGCUCCAAAAUGAAUCUAAGCCAUCUGGGCACUCAGCCACUGUCAUCACUUUCUCACCUUUAAGAUCACCAAUAUCAGUGUCACGGUGACACAGUAUUGAGAAAGCAUAAAAUAAAAAAGCCUUUGUAGAACUCAUUUAAAUUCUCAACUUUUUAAAAACAAAUUCUUAGUUAUUUUACCCAUUGAAAUCUUUUGCCUCAACUCUGCAAAGUGUCGACUAGUUCUCUUUAUAAAACUCCAGACAGAGAAUAGAGGCUUUUCUACAUGAAAAAAAAAAAACGCACCUCGAUGUCUGUGGACCUCAGACUCCUCAUCUUUAAAAUGAUGGGAUUGGACGAGAUAAUCAAGUCCCAUCUAGUUCUUUGACUCUGUGACUCAUUUCUACAAUUUAUUUACUCCCUAAUCUGUGAGAACCAAUCCCAAACAAUGCAUCUUUGGUAUUGUUUUUAACAAAACAUAUUUACCCGUGAGACAUGAUACAUUUUUUAAUAAGUUUUUAAAAAGUGUUGCGUCUUUCUAACAAAG